rnacentral:rRNA from 1 species
CCUACGGGGGGCUGCAGUGAGGAAUAUUGGUCAAUGGGCGCUAGCCUGAACCAGCCAAGUCGCGUGAAGGAAGACGGCCCUAUGGGUUGUAAACUUCUUUUAUAUGGGAAUAAAAUGCAGCACGUAUACUGCUUUGCAUGUACCUUAUGAAUAAGGAUCGGCUAACUCCGUGCCAGCAGCCGCGGUAAUACGGAGGAUCCGAGCGUUAUCCGGAUUUAUUGGGUUUAAAGGGAGCGUAGGCGGGAUGUCAAGUCAGUUGUGAAAGUUGAGGGCUCAACCGUAUUCUUGCAGUUGAAACUGGCUUCCUUGAGUGCAGUAGAGGUAGGCGGAAUUCGUGGUGUAGCGGUGAAAUGCUUAGAUAUCACGAAGAACUCCGAUUGCGAAGGCAGCAUGCUGGACUGUAACUGACGCUGAUGCACGAAAGUGUGGGUAUCAAACAGGAUUAGAUACCCGUGUAGUC